GAUGAAGAACGUAGUGAAAUGCGAUAAGUAAUGUGAAUUGCAGAAUUCAGUGAAUCAUCGAGUCUUUGAACGCACAUUGCGCCCCCUGGUAUUCCGGGGGGCAUGCCUGUCCGAGCGUCAUUGCCGCCCUCAAGCACGGCUUGUGUGUUGGGCCCCCGCCCCCCGGCUUCGGGGGGCGGGCCCGAAAGGCAGCGGCGGCACCGCGUCCGGUCCUCGAGCGUAUGGGGCUUCGUCACCCGCUCUGUAGGCCCGGCCGGCGCCCGCCGGUGACCCCAAUCAAUCUUUCCAGGUUGACCUCGGAUCAGGUAGGGAUACCCGCUGAACUUAAGCAUAUCAAUAAGCGGAGGA
rnacentral:misc_RNA from 1 species